AAAGUAUACAAAUAAGACUAUAUAAAAGUUAUAAUGUUAAUAUUUAUAAGGGCAAAGUGAAUAUGUGGCUGUUUCACGUCUAACCUUACAUGUGAAACCAUCCAAAACUACGUAGUUUUGUUAGAAUUCCUUCCAAACUUCAUCUCGCUCCAUCAGGUCACGUCAAAAUUGGGUUUCUGCUCUCCUUCUCAUGCUCUGCCCAAUCGAUCUUCAUCAGGUAAACCCUAACUCUUAAAGGCACAGAUCUCUCCGCUAUCAUCGUUGAUGCACUUCAGUAUCUCGAUGGAAUCAAACAGGUGUUCAGAGCUGAUAUACAUCCAGGUGCAAGAGGCUAUGAUGAUCUCAACUUCGUGAAUCAGAAGCCAACAAGGAAUCAAUUGGAUAUAGACAAUUGGAGAACCAACUGGAGCAAAAGUCAACAGAACGGACCCAACUAAGGAAAGACACUUGCAGCAACAAGCUGCUGAUUUAUCAUGAUAUUAUCUCGUGCGGUUCACUCAGAGAGAAUUUAAUGUAACAAUUUAGUGACUAUGUAUUCUAUUUGUAAUUGUUACUAGUAAUUAAUGUAAUUAUACAGUUUGUAAGUUCGUUUGACAUGUUUUAUAAUAACUUAAUGAAUUUUGACAUGUUUAAUAUGAGUAUAAUAAUGAUUAUCGCUUGCGUUCCUUUUGUUCCUCUAGCGAUGGCCGACUGUUAUUGAUGUUGAUGUUGUAUUCCAGCCAAUUCUCAGUCUUCUCUUAAUCUUAAUCUGAUGUACUUAUCAUACACCAGUACCCCAACCCAGAAAGAACCACAUGAAAUAUAGCAUAACACAUGAUGAUUCACCCCAACAAAAAGUAUUGACUGAUCAUGAUGAUUCACCCCAACAAAAGGAGCAAAUGGCAUCUUAAAUUUGU
rnacentral:lncRNA from 1 species